CUACGGGGGCUCCAGUGAGGAAUAUUGGACAAUGGUCGAAAGACUGAUCCAGCCAUGCCGCGUGCAGGAUGACUGCCCUAUGGGUUGUAAACUGCUUUUAUACGGGAAGAAAAACACCUACGUGUAGGUGACUGACGGUACCGUAAGAAUAAGGACCGGCUAACUCCGUGCCAGCAGCCGCGGUAAUACGGAGGGUCCAAGCGUUAUCCAGAAUCAUUGGGUUUAAAGGGUCCGUAGGCGGGCUAUUAAGUCAGAGGUGAAAGUUUGCAGCUCAACUGUAAAAUUGCCUUUGAUACUGAUAGUCUUGAAUUGUAGUGAAGUGGUUAGAAUAUGUGGUGUAGCGGUGAAAUGCAUAGAUAUCACAUAGAAUACCGAUUGCGAAGGCAGAUCACUAACUAUAUAUUGACGCUGAGGGACGAAAGCGUGGGGAGCGAACGGGAUUAGAUACCCUGGUAGUC
rnacentral:rRNA from 1 species